CAGAUGACAGAUACAAAGGCAGCAUGGGUUAACUGUCCAGCCCUCAGAAUGCGCUGUGCCCUACUGUACUCCCCUCAUAAAGCGGGGGGCCUUCGCAAUGGGGAAGCCAGGCAAACACCACGUCGGCCCAGUGACCAAGGCCAGAGCCGGCUCCCUCAGCUUGCAGGGAGGUGUGGAGGGAAAGGUGCGAGCGGGAACCUGGGCGGCA
rnacentral:lncRNA from 1 species